CAUUGAGAUAUGGUGGAGAACUAGUGAUAAAAUACUAUAUAAUUAGUCAUAUUACUUUAAAUGGACAUAUCCAUCAUUAUUCGGUGCUUUUGUUAUAUAUCUGAAGAUGCUCGGAAGUUAUUCCAUUGAAGACCAUCGUUGAGGACAACAAUUAAUGAAGAACGCUGAAAAUAUACACCAAACUUAUUCAAUGACGUUCGUCGACUUGGAAGAAGAAGAGGACAUCAGGUUAAGUAUCAGCUCAGAGUCAGAAGAGCAUCAGUUUGAUAAUUGGAACCUGACACACUCCGAUCCUUUUCGUCCACUACCCAUUCCAGACACUCCGAUAGAUACACCGCCGGAGACACCACCAGAGUCACCGACAACAGUUCCAAUACAUCAUGUACCUCCACCACGUGCUCCACCACCUCCCAUCCCAUACUUCCCCUUGCCUGUCUUGAAUCCUCCGUCAGGAAUUUGACCUGAAAAUCACCAUUUCAACAAGGCCAAAAUUUGCCAAGCUUCAAUAAUCUUGGCCAACCAAUAUUUAAUUUACUAUAUUUUCUAGCUAACUCGUUACAAUUUUUUUGAUAGGGAACAAAGCACUCACCGAGAAGUACAAAACACGUUACAAGCUAGCCCUGAUAGGUGAUUGGGAAACGGCUAGGGAAAAGUUCUUCAACAUUGAUUCUGAAUCAAUAACGGCAUGGAUCACUAUGUUCUCAGAGACAGCUCUGCACAUAGCUGCCAAAGCAGGACAUGAAAAUUUUGCCGUGGAACUUGUGAAACUUAUGCCACCGGAAGCACUUGUACACCAAGAGUAUAACAAUGGUGAUACGACACUUCAUCGUGCUGCCAUUACUGGAAUUACUAAAGCAAUGGUGGAAAAGAAUCCUAUCGUGGUACAAAUUCGUAAUAAGAAGGGGUGGAUUCCACUUUUAAGUGCUAUUUAUGGAUCUUCCUAUCAGCAAAGAGAAAUGAUAGAGUUUCUUUUAUCUGCUCACCUGCGGCAUAAGAAUCGGAGUCCUUUCUCUGGUCGUAUCGGUGGUGAACUUAUAUGUACUUUGAUUAGAGCUGGCUUCUUCGAUAUUGCAACAAAAUUGAUCGACGACCACCCAAACCUGGCUGUUAAGAAAGAUAAAGAUGAUUCAUGUGCAUUAGAAGUCCUGGCUGAAAUGCGUUACGCAUUUCCAAGUGGAAGUCGGUUAGUAUCAUGGCAACGCUACGUCUACUCACAUAUUACUGUUGACCUCCCUGAAACACGUCAACACCAUGACACCGAGAAUCCUCCAGCGAGUUCGCGAAAUAUCUCAACUGCAAGUCUCACAACAAAGUUCCUCAGCAUUACCCAGUUAGCCACAGGAUGGAUGAAGGAACUACUUAGGAAAGUUCCAUGCGUUAAAAAGGUCUAUGACCAAAAAUUGAUGCAUAGAGAGGCUUUGGAAUUGGUUAGAUGCAUAUAUGCCACUACAAAACAGAAGGUUUCUAGGGACGGCUCAUUCUCAAAAAACCAUCCCCAGAAUGCAGAAGUUGGGACGAACCCGUUUAGCCGUCCUUAGCGAUGUAUUUGAGACCGUGCCAAAAAAACCAUCCCAACUGGUCCAUUAUUAGGGACGAACUAUAUCCGAGUGUCACUACUGGUGUACUAGUAGGGACGAAUUUUUUCGUGCGUCCCUAAAAGCUUCUAGCCGUUCCAGUAAGUAGAAUCAUCCAAUGGUGGUGAUUAUAUCGUCGGUAACUUAACUUCUGUACUCCCUAGAACAUAGUGAAACUAAUCUAUUUCAUUUUUCCUCUCAAGUUUUCAUCGCCUAUUCUGCUCAUGUUUUCAUCGACUCUACUAAAACCCUAAAACUCUCCUUCGUGCGAUUCGUCGUCACUUUCUUCUCCAUCUCCUUCGUGAUACUCAUCAGAAGUGAAAUCUUCACUUUCUUCUGCUAUAAGUCUGUCAAAUCUAGCAGAUGCCCAUCAUGCAAACUUAGGGUGCAUAUUGCUGGUGUUGGCGAUUAGGUUCAUAUCAUCGCAGGAUCAUUCGCUGGCUUGCAUGCUCAUAAUCAUCGACCGCUACUAACUUAUAAAGUAAUGGUAUUGUUAAAUUUGUCAAGUUUUAUGUAACUAUCACCAAGUAAUUCAUUACUAAUUUGGGUAUGUUCUGCGUUUUUUCCUCUUUCUGUUGUGUAUGGGACUUUUAUGUGCAUGUGUGACUAGUGGUUUCCGUUAAUCGUAAGUUUAUUCCUUGGUCAGUUUGUAGAAACCAUGGAUAAGAGUUGGGUUCACAAGUAUCGGUCGGGUAAAGAGUAUGAAGAUGGUUUGAGGAUGUUCUUGGACCAUGCAUUCAAGGAAGGGGUUGUUACUGAAGAUAACAAAAUGAAAUGUCCUUGCACAAAGUGCAAUAAUGUUAAUUACAAAGUUAGAAGUGAAAUAUUCAGUGACUUGAUAUCGCACGGUAUGAUGAGAAAUUAUACUACAUGGUUUCAUCAUGGUGAGAGUUUAAGCUCAACGGUCUCAUCAAGUAUCGCACCACAAGAUACAUGUUUUGAGGUCGGAAAUAACAAUAAUGAUGGACCAGGGGAUGACCUUUUGGGCAUGUUGCGAGCUGUGUGUGGAAUACCAAGAAAGAUAAAGAGUUGGCGGCUAAAAAUAAACUAAAAGGUCCAAACAAACAAUUCAACACACUGGUGGCUCCAAGCCACAUGGAAUAUGCAAAAGAGAUGCUAGCCGAAACAAGAAGAUUCCCUGAACGGCAUGAAGUAUUUCUUAGGACCAGGACAAAGAAAAGAAAAACAUCAGAUCCAAAUGAAGUGAUGGAUCCUGUUGCUUCUGAACAAUAUGAUCGAAUGGUGGAAAUACACAAGCAGGCUAACCAACCUGGAUCUGGAGUCGUUUUAGGUGGAUGAAAUGAUGCAUUUGCAGCUGUUAUGGGACCAGAUAGACGUGGUCGGAUUCGUUGCUUUGGCAGCACUGUGAAGCCGAAACAGUUUUGGGACGAGUCAUCAUCAUCAAGUAGAGUUGUUCAAUUGAAAGAGGAAAAUGCAAUGCUCAAACGAAGGGUUGCAGAUUGGAGGCUCAAGUUGCAGUAUUACCACCAAACCAGAACAAUGAAGGACUCGAGGAUAUGUGAUAUGGAAAGGUGCAGGAAGGGUUAGCUUCCAGAUAUUAACAGAUGAUAAAAUAGCACUCAAAGCAGGCCACUGAUUGUAGUUAACAAAUGAUAAACAGAGACACCAUUUACUGUAGAGAGUGUAUGAACCUAAAUUUUUGCUUGUUUUUUGAGAA